AGUGCAUAUGGGUCAGUAGCCUAUUUGCGGAUGGAAAAUGACAAGGGUGUGGUACAUACUUCCUUCAUCAUGGCAAGAUCUCGAGUGGCCCCUAAAAGGCAAAUAUCCAUCCCUCGUCUGGAACUUUGCGCUGCUCUAACAGGUGCACAGCUUUGUAAACUCCUGCAGAAUGAAUUGACUCAUCCUUUGACAAAUAUUGUCCUAUGGUCAGAUUCAACAACCGUCUUGUCUUGGCUGCAUUCCCUCUCCUGCCGUUACAAAAUUUUUUUAGCUAAUAGAGUCACUGAAAUCCUGGAACUUACUGAUCCCUCUUCUUGGAGGUAUAUUCCUUCUGCACAGAAUCCAGCAGAUGACAUUACUAGAGGUAAAACUCUUGUUGAGUUAGCCAAACCUGCUCAUAGAUGGCGACAAGGCCCAAUGUUUCUGAGAUGUCCUCCACAUGAAUGGCCAAAAAAUCUAGUGUCCAGACCUGCUAGUCCUGAUCCUGAGCUCUGCAAGCCACUCUUUUGUGGCUUAACACAAGUGGAUGAUUUCGUAUUCCCAGAUCCUUCCAGUUUCAAAUCACUGUCAGAGUUACAGUCCGCAACAAAUCAGCUACUGCUACAACAUAGGGAGGACUCCUGUGAUGCCUCUUCAGUCCAAACCCUUCUUUUGAGAGAAGCCCAGCAACAAAGUUUUCCCUCUGAGUAUCAGUGUUUAAAGGAAGGAAAGCCCAUUGAACCUCAAAGUUGUCUCCUCACACUUUCUCCUGAAUUCAAUGAAGAAACAGGACUUAUUGUAGUGGGAGGUAAGCUCAGGCGUGUAGAGGAUAUGGAACCUGGAAUGGUUCAUCCAAUUGUACUCAACCCCAAACAUCCAUUAUCCCAUUUAAUUAUCAAGGACUGUGAUGAGAAACUUUCCCAUCCUGGUCCAGAGAGAGUUUUCUCAGAACUUCGGCGCAAUUACUGGAUAAUUAGAGGGAGACAAGCCGUAAAAAAACAUCAGUGGUCUUGUUUACAAUGUAGAAAGUGGAGAGCUAAGCCAUCUAUCCCUCAAAUGUCAGAUCUGCCAAGCUCCAAGCUCCGGUUGUUUAAACCUCCCUUUUGGUCCACCGGAAUGGACUGUUUUGGUCCCUUUCAUGUCAAUAUUGGCCGUAGAACGGAGAAGAGAUGGGGCAUUCUGUUUAAAUGCCAGACCACUCGAUGUCUGCAUCUUGAUUUGUUGAGCAGUUUAAAUGUGGACAGCUUUCUAAUGGCCCUACGCCGCUUCAUAUCUAGGAGAGGAAGGCCUUAUGAGAUUCUUUGUGAUCAAGGAAGUAAUUUCCGUGGAGCUGCAAGAGAAUUAAAGGAAGCUUUCCAAACCUUACCACUGAGUUGCAAGUCAAGUUGGAAAGUCAGCAGAUUAAAUUCAAGUUUAAUCCACCACAAGCUCCUCAUUUUGGGGGGUCAUGGGAAAGAGAGGUCCGUUCAGUUAAAACAGCUCUGCGGGUGGUACUUGGCAGUCAAACAGUAUCAGCGGAAGUCCUACAAACAGUUUUGACUGAAGUUGAAGGAGUGUUAAAUUCGAAGCCACUUGGUUACGCCUCUUCAAACAUUUCAGAUCUCGACCCUAUCACUCCAAAUCUCCUCCUCAUGGGGCGGCGAGACUCUUCUCUACCUCAGGUGAUUUAUGCCAACACUAAGCUCUUUGGCCGCAGAUCUUGGCGCCAUAGCCAGGUCCUCGUGGACCAGUUCUGGACAUCCUUUAUCCGAUAUUAUCUACCAGGUCAGCAGCUCCGUCAAAAAUGGAACCGAGAACAACCUAAUCUAAAUGACUCUGCUGUCGUGUUAGUUAUUGAUUCGCAAGGUAGGGUAGUACGUCUCUUACCUAGUCAGGAUGGGCGCGUUAGAGUAGCUGAGAUUGUUAUUAAUGGAAAGACAUAUGUACGUCCAGUUGCUAAGUUGAUUCCAUUACCUAAAAUAGAUUAGUGAUAGCGAAUACGUGACUGUAUUCGGGGGCGGCUGUUGUGAAUUUGACCCUUCUCUUUCAUUUUUCCUUUUCUUUUUCCCAUAUAUAUAUAUUUGUACUACAUAUCCCACAAUUCCAAGCAGACUACAAUACCCAUGCAAGUGCACUACAUUACCCAUACACCUCCUGGUCAAGGUCUAUAAAUAGACCUCACUUCCUUCCUUUGUUUCUCUUCCUUUGGUGAGGGUGUGGGUGUUUGAAUGGACACCCAACCAUGUCCUUUGAGUCCUUUCCUUAGGAUGCGUUAAUGACUUAAGACCAUCUUGUACAUCUUGUACACAUUGUCCAUCCAGUUCAUCCUGUCCAUCUAAUAACAUCUGUCCAUCUCCAUGCCAUGGGAAUUGUCUAUGAAUAAUCAUCUUGAACUUAAAAAUAAAAGAGAGCAAAGGACUGGUAUCUGUCCCGUGUUUUAAUCAGACACGCCAUCAAGUUUCUACACCUCUGAUGAACUUUGGAUAUAUUAACAUCUGUUGCGGUUCCCUGGAGACACCCAUCACCUUGGACACCUCGCGACUCCCCUUCCAGGGGGAGUCCGAUCUUCUGGCAGUUUUCAGCAACUUUGUUGAUUCACUUCGGAGCAGUCAACCCAUGGAUGAAAUGACAAAGGUUUCACUCCAAACAGGAUUCAACAGGAAUCUACGCAUUAUACAUGCACCGGGACACUUUACUCAGCAACUACAGAACCAAUGCAAGUAACUGCUUGUUAACUAUUUAGAUGCGC
ensembl:lncRNA